rnacentral:rRNA from 1 species
GACGAACGCUGGCGGCGUGCUUAACACAUGCAAGUCGAACGGAAAGGCCCUGCUUUUGUGGGGUGCUCGAGUGGCGAACGGGUGAGUAACACGUGAGUAACCUGCCCUUGACUUUAGGAUAACUUCAGGAAACUGGGGCUAAUACCGGAUAGGAGCUCCUGCUGCAUGGUGGGGGUUGGAAAGUUUCGGCGGUUGGGGAUGGACUCGCGGCUUAUCAGCUUGUUGGUGGGGUAGUGGCUUACCAAGGCUUUGACGGGUAGCCGGCCUGAGAGGGUGACCGGCCACAUUGGGACUGAGAUACGGCCCAGACUCCUACGGGAGGCAGCAGUGGGGAAUAUUGCACAAUGGGCGGAAGCCUGAUGCAGCAACGCCGCGUGCGGGAUGACAGCCUUCGGGUUGUAAACCGCUUUCGCCUGUGACGAAGCGUGAGUGACGGUAAUGGGUAAAGAAGCACCGGCUAACUACGUG